AUCAACUUUCGAUGGUAGGAUAGAGGCCUACCAUGGUGGUAACGGGUAACGGGGUGUUAGGGCACGACACCGGAGAGGGAGCCUGAGAAACGGCUACCACAUCCAAGGAUGGCAGCAGGCGCGCAAAUUACCCAAUCCCGACACGGGGAGGUAGUGACAAUAAAUAACAAUACGGGGUUCUUUAGGAUCUCGUAAUUGGAAUGAGUACAAUUUAAAUCUCUUAACGAGGAACAAUUGGAGGGCAAGUCUGGUGCCAGCAGCCGCGGUAAUUCCAGCUCCAAUAGCGUAUAUUAAAGUUGUUGCAGUUAAAAAGCUCGUAGUUGAAUUUCGGGGUUAGUAGGUUGGUCAUGCCUCUGGUAUGUACUGGUCUCACUGAUUCCUCCUUCCUGAUGAGCCGUAAUGCCAUUAAUUUGGUGUUGCGGGGAAUUUGGACUGUUACUUUGAAAAAAUUAGAGUGUUUAAAGCAAGCUAACGCUUGAAUACAUUAGCAUGGAAUAAUGAAAUAGGACGUUCGAUCCUAUUUUGUUGGUUUCUAGGAUUGACGUAAUGAUUAAUAGGGAUAGUUGGGGGCAUUAGUAUUCAAUUGUCACAGGUGAAAUUCUUGCAUUUAUGGAACACUACCUACUGCGAAAACAUUUGCCAAGGAUGCUUUCUUUAAUCAUCAACUAAAGUUAGGGGAUGAUCCACGACCAGAAACCGCCGUACUAUUCACCAGCUCCUACUCCGACGACGGGUCCUAGGACGAUCAUUUUUUAAGACUCCGCUCGGCCCUCUAUCGCAAACCCAAAUGGUUGGAGUC
rnacentral:rRNA from 1 species